UCUACUCCCCCACAGCUCAGCUCCUGAUCCGUAACAUAGGGCUCUUCCCUUGGGAUGGGUAUUCAUGUGUUACGCUUACAGGCUGCAAGACACUCAGCAACUUUGAGGAUCAGGGACAUACAAAUGUAAACAUCUGCAGCUCUCCCUUUACAAUCAGGGAAAAGAAGUGGCCAGCUGAGAGCAGGAUUCAUCCAGCCUAGUGGAGAUACCUAGUUCAGGAAGAGCUGCAUUGUUAUUUCCAUCCACUGAGCAUCAAAGAGGAGCAGCUCCAAUGUGAGUAUCUCAGUGGUUUAGGAGAGUCCAUCUCCCCCCUCCCCAAAUGGGAAGCGAUGCUUCAGUGGGACCUUUAGCUUUUUUUUUUUUAGCUAAAUAUCUAUUAACAAUUACCAAAAGUUGACUAUACCCAAGUACUAAGGCAUUUGUGGAACUGGACACAUGAAAUAUUUACCAUUGCUCAUUCUUUGUGUGAAAAAGAGGAAGCUCUUUAUGCCCAGUAUCUAGCACUCCAUUUCUACAUUUGUCAUGUUCAGUGGGGAUUGCUAGGGUAAAGCAGAAGUAGGAGUCUUGGUUUUCUCAUAACACAUAUAAGUUUGGGUAUACCAGAAAAGCAAUCAAAUUUGGCAGAGCCUGUUCACUCCUGUAGGAAGGAGGGGUACAGGAAGCACAUCAUAACUGACCCAUCUUUGACAUUUCACCCAACAACAUACACAAUGCAUUUUCAUGGGAACGUUACAAAGUCAACUACUAAAUGGAAAUGUUUUGUCUUAAAGUGCAGAAGAACUAUGAAAUUCUCUCUGGGGAAUCUGUCUGCUCAUAGCUGCUUCAGGCUGUCUAAGGUACACUCUUCUAGAAAAGAGUAACAUUCUUUUUCAGGAAAAUACAAAUUAUAAUGAGAGAAAUAAACAAAAAUGAAAUGCAAUUUUUUUUUUUUUUUUGACUGGGGAUUUCUUCUUCCAGUCGUUCUCCAUUGCAGAAUAUUCUUUAUGUCCUUCAUCAGUCUUGUACUUCGUUACAGAUGGAAAAUAUUAGCUCUGGUUUACAAAACAUGGCCCCGUUUCCUGUAACACAGCACAGGUUGGACAAAUCUGUCAUUUGAGUAGUGUGUCUAUUCUGUGGCCAAUUCUGUAAUCUACAAGCAAUGUAAUCCUAAACAAGGAAUCUCAUGUUAGCAGCCAAGAUUGGAAAAUCCCUGUUUAAGUGCAAUUGCUGCCAACACUUGCUAAGGACAAACUAAUUUUCAAUCUGCAGUUUGAGGGCUGUCUCUUUUCCUUUUUAGCUCUUUUUUUUAAUAAAUAAAACACACCUAACUUUCUAAGAUGACACAAAUGCACACUUGAUUUUAAAAAGUGGAAAACAGAUUUAGAAAAAAGUUUAAGGUUAUGAAAAAUAUCACACUGUCUAUAAAAAAGAUUAUUCUAUUUUUUAAUACAAUUUGAACAAAUGCCACUUUGCAAAUUUGAAGAGUUGUAUUUCAGAACAAACAGCAACAAGAUUGUUGUGUACAAAUAAGAGGAGAAGAGCAAGGGAGAAAGACAAGGGGGUGUGUGUUAUAGAAUACAGAUAGGAAGAUCGAGGAUGAUCUAGAUAUAGCUUUAAAUGAGAACUUGACCUCAGUUUUCAAGAUGGAUCAGGGCGGUAUAAAUAAUGGCAAUGAGGAUAUGAGAUGAUGACAACUAAGACAGAAGCAAAACUCAAGAAAUUUAAUAUAUCCACGUUGGCGGACACAGAAGUGAAAGGCAGGCAGAAGAAGCUACAUUAAGUAGUUAUGGUAAGUUUUCCAGGUCACAGAUGCUUCCAGCUGAUCAGAAAGAACACAGUACAAGAAUAUAGUGCUGAUAUUUAAAGACUGAGCUCAGAGAAAUUACUCCAAAGAAUUAGAUUUACAUAUUUAAUGCUUUUGAAGAAAUCUUGAAAGAAAGGAGAGAGAAGGUUGAUGAGACAAAGGGGAAAGUGAGUGUAUAACAUAGACCAACUUGCCAAGUAUUGUGUGUACCCUAUUAAAUUACUUUUUUCUUCUAGAAUACUUAUCAAAGAAAGCUGAUGUAAGAGAUCACUCAUGUUUGGACAUUAAUAAACCAUUUGACAUGGUGACACAGGAGAAACAUUACUCAAAAGAAGAUUAAAGAUUAGCAGAGAAACUAUAAAUUGCAGGAGAAGUUGAGCCAAGACAAAAUGGAAAUUAGUGUUUUUGAGAAGUGAAGUUACCAGGUUGGAGAAAAAUUACUAGCAGAAAUUGUCAAGAACAGCUAUGGGACAGAUCUUUAAGUAUUUUCAUUCACUAUCUUGAGACAAAAAUACAAAAUCUUUCUUUCAAUGAAUUAAGUUGAAAAGCAUUGCCAGCAGAAAGGAAUUUGGGGGCUGCUGUUUAUAAGGAACUGCCUAAACUUAAGAAAAAAAUGCAAGGGAGGGUGACCUUUCCAUAGCGUAAAACGCAAUGUUAAAUGCACGAGACUAAUUGUAAGGGUUUAUUUUUACAAUCUGAUAGCUCAUUAAAAGCUGCAAAGGAUUGAGAAGCAGUUGUGUGCCUGAGCUGAUCCUGCAAUAACUAUGAGCAUCAACGUGAUGCACUUACCAAAACAGUGAAUACGAUCUUACACUAUAUCACAAGAGGAGUCCUCGGCAGACACAAGGAAGUAUUCAUGCCGCUACGCAAGUGUCAACAGUAUCUCCUUCAGUAUAUUGGAAAUUUGAGUCUGUACACAUUACAGCAUCUCACACUUUGCCAGCCUACUGAUCUCAGGGGGUUGAUGGCUCAUCUUAGGAGGUGGACCAUCAAAUAGGAGGAGGAGGAGGUUGCACUGUCAGAGCAAUCAAUGUCUGCAGCGGUUUCUCACUGAGAGAUGUGUGAGCAAGAUUCAAGGCUCUAAGGACAAAAACCAGCACAGCUCUCAGAUAUGGGAAGCAACCUCCUGUGUCCAGUGCAUCCCUGUCUGACCAUGGAGACUGGAGCCAAGAAGCCUCAAGAAGAGACAACAGCCAUCAGGGAAACGAGGAACUUCCAAACAACUCUAUUGUGAUCUGCUGUUGGCUUGGCACAACAGAUGAGCUACCUAAAAGAAACCUUGUCUGGAGAUAGGGAGGCACAUUCCCAUACCAAAUGGGGGGACAUUUUUACCCUGCUGCCUAUCACAAAACUCCUGGAGUUGAAUUUACAUUACAGUGUUGGAUUUCCCCACAGAGGCGCACACCAAUCUACAGCUGAUGAACUACUCAUUUAUUCCUCUGGGUAAGGAAAAACAAUGUCCUGAAUACUGAAGGUCUAAACCACCCAAGGAUACUGGAUUUUAGACAGUAACAUGUGGGAGCUUUACCGAGAACCCCACAGGAGCCACAAACCCAACAAGAACAAAAUAUUUCUUUGCACUGACAAGCCACAAAGAGGAAAGCUGACAAAAAAAACUUCCUCUGGGGCUCACUUGAGCAGUGUCUCCAUUCCCCCUUUGCAAAUGCAGAUAUCAGGAUUUCCUUUGCUUAUACCGUGAUGGUACUAGAUGGCAUCGGGUAUUUACUAUUGCUAUACCAGUCUCUUGGGUGCUCAUGAGCAAAAAGAAUCAGAUGAACAUGGUCUGCAGCACUUUUUAUUUCCCCCCUCAAACUGUGAACACAGAAUAUUGGAAAGAUCUACUAGAUCAAGCUGAUUUUAUAUAUAAUAUGAUAUAUAACAUAGCCAGUUUCCAUCCUUCUCACCUACUCCAAAAAAUGUUGGAACCUCUUUAUUUUAUAGAAGAAUUGAAAUGAAACAAUUUGCAAUUUUAUUCCUCAAAUACACAAACAUUUUGGGUAGCUAAAGUCACAUUAUUGAUCUUUUUAUACAAUUUUCCUUUAAAAUUCCCCUAAA